rnacentral:rRNA from 1 species
AUUGAACGCUGGCGGCAUGCUUUACACAUGCAAGUCGAACGGCAGCGGGGAGGAGCUUGCUUCUCUGCCGGCGAGUGGCGAACGGGUGAGUAAUACAUCGGAACGUGUCGAGAAGAGGGGGAUAACCACCCGAAAGGGUGGCUAAUACCGCAUAAAUUCUGAGGAAGAAAGCUGGGGACCUAGGAAUAGGCCUAGCGCUUUUUGAGCGGCCGAUGUCGGAUUAGCUAGUUGGUGAGGUAAAGGCUCACCAAGGCGAAGAUCUGUAGCGGGUCUGAGAGGAUGGAUCCGCCCCAUUGGACCUGAGACCGGGCCCAGCCCCCUACGGGAGGCGCAGGUGGGAAAUUUUGAAAAAGGGGGCAACCCUGAUCCAGCCAUGCCGCGUGUAUGAAGAAGGCCUUAGGGUUGUAAAGUACUUUUGUUAGGGAAGAAAAGUCAGCUGUGAAUAAUGGCUGAUACUGACGGUACCUAAAGAAUAAGCACCGGCUAACUACGUG